CAGAAUCGUCGGGAAGAUGCUGAAUGGCCCGCUGAGCUUUUCCAGCAUUUGCGUCUGCGAUACCAUAAGACUCUAAGACACAGGAGCAGAAUCGGACCAUUCAGCCCAUCGAGUCGGCUCUGCCAUUCUACCAUGCCCCACCUAGAGCUUGGGCCUCCCCCUUUAUUGGUGUUCCGAAGUGGUUCUGUGUAAAGCACCCGGUGACAUUCAGUUCCUCGGCGAAACGUGAAAUCGGCCAAAGGGAGUGGUGUCUCAGAAAGGCAGCAUCCAUUAUUAAGGACCUCCAGCACCCAGGACAUGCCCUCUUCUCAUUGCUACCAUCAGGAAGAAGGUACAGAAGCCUAAAGGCACACACUCAGCGAUUCAGGAACAGCUU